AAUAUCCCAACGGGUUGGUGGUCCUGUGGCAAUCAUCAGUGAUCGGUAGCAGUCGGAAGAGCAGGAAAGAUAAAAAGCAAACUUGUUGAGAGCAAUUUUGGAAGGACCAAAGAGCCACUGGAGGCUCCAGAGCCGUGGGUUGAAAACCCACAGCAAGGGUCUGAAACUUAGCCACCGUCCCCUUUGCUGUGCCAUGAGAGAAGGCUGAUUGAAAUAUUUACCCACCACGUAACGUUUGCACAGGUGAGGUUGCUUCACUGUGAUUUCUGUAAUUUAUCAAUCAUUUAAAUAAUUUAGCCUCUUCUCUGCCUGCCAUCUCAUUCCAUCUGGGUCCUGACUACAACAAAUUACAACAGACUGGACAUAAAUACAACAUUUCUUACUUUUCUAGAAUA